ACUCCUAGCGGGAGGCAGCAGGUAGGGAAUGAUGGACAAUGGGCGAAAGCCUGAUCCAGCAAUGCCGCGUGAGUGAUGAAGGCCCUAGGGUUGUAAAGCUCUUUUACCCGGGAAGAUAAUGACUGUACCGGGAGAAUAAGCCCCGGCUAACUCCGUGCCAGCAGCCGCGGUAAUACGGAGGGGCUAGCGUUGUUCGGAAUUACUGGGCGUAAAGCGCACGUAGGCGGCUUUGUAAGUCAGAGGUGAAAGCCUGGAGCUCAACUCCAGAACUGCCUUUGAGACUGCAUCGCUUGAAUCCAGGAGAGGUCAGUGGAAUUCCGAGUGUAGAGGUGAAAUUCGUAGAUAUUCGGAAGAACACCAGUGGCGAAGGCGGCUGACUGGACUGGUAUUGACGCUGAGGUGCGAAAGCGUGGGGAGCAAACAGGAUUAGAUA
rnacentral:rRNA from 1 species